AGAAAUGGCUUCGCUGGAGGCAUCGACAAAUCUAAUGCAGUAACCUCAUUUUACAGAAGAGAACUCUAAGAGGAUAACUAACUUGGCCAAGAUCACAUGAUGUUUCUGGAUGAGAUUAGCAUUCAAAUUCGUGGACUCAUUAAAGUAGAUGGCUCUCUCCAAUAUGGGUGGGCAUCAUCCAAUCUGUUGAAGGCGUGAAGAGAACAAGAGAAGGAGGAAGGAAGAAUUCACCUUUUUUCUUGCUGCCCACCUGCUUGGGCUGGGACAUUGCAUCUCACCUUCUCCAGCCUUUGGAUGAGGAUUUACACCCUGGUUCUCAGGCCUUCAGGCUCUAACUGGAGCUACACUAUCAACUUUCCUGGGCCUCCAGAUUGCAGAUGGUGGAUCACGGUACUUUUUAGCCUCCAUCAUAAUAUGAGAAAAAAGAGGCACAGUGAAGCUAAAUAUAUUGGCUAAAGAUCACAAAGCUAAGUUGAAAUUUUUCAAGAUGAAAAGUUGCUAAAGAAAGAGAAAGGGAAGCGGUUUGCUCCAGUAUUCCUCUUUCCACCUUCCCACUGACUGGGAAGCGGCGGUUAGCAGAGCCACAGUCUUGGAUUAGAGAUAAGAGGGACAUGUUGAGGAAGGUGGAGUCUCCCCCACAGCCCUGGACCAGUACGGAAUCCCUGUAUUCUAGGAUUUGGCAAGCUGUCCACUGAAACAUUAUUUUUCCCAGCCUUCUUUGCAGAGGUGGGGAAACUGAGGCAAAGGGUGUUUAAAUGGUCUGCCCAAAGUCACACAGCUAAGAAGCAGUGAUGGGAUAUGAAGUCAAACAGUCUUAAAAGCAAGCUAUCCUGUUGCAAAAUAGAAAUUAGUUGAUAACGUCUUCCAGGAGACCUACGGCCAUCCUACUGAUAUGAACCAGAUCAUACCUGCCCUGAUGGGAUGCCAGAGAAAGACUGCUGCAAGGUACGCGCCACUCACAGACCUCUCCAUUUAUCUCACUGAUGCAAAGGACCCUGAGUAGGGAUCCUCUGGAAACAGAACAGAGGGAAGAAGAUACCUUCCCUGAAGCCCAGAUGUUCCAGAAGCCUGCGCCUCAUUCACAAAGUCACCCCAAAAAUGCCCUAGAGUUUGGAGUUUUGAAGAAGCGGGAAGAAGGCCUGAGUAAGGGCCUGGGAACCAAGUUAGAUCCUACUUCAGCAUCAGCACAUGCCAGCGAUGGUGCACACAGGUGGAGAGCGGCCUGCCCGUCUUUUCCAUGGUGCCCACAGACCCAUUUAGGAUGAAAGAUCAGAAAAUUCUCUCCAUGUCACCGCUUCUGAAACAUGUGAAUAUUAAUAUUUGGUGCCUAAAAGGCCAUGGCAAAUUUUCA
ensembl:lncRNA TNPO1-DT TNPO1 divergent transcript